rnacentral:rRNA from 1 species
UUCCGGUUGAUCCCGCCGGAGGUCACUGCUAUUGGGAUUCGACUAAGCCAUGCGAGUCGAGAGGGUUCGGCCCUCGGCUGACGGCUCAGUAACACGUGGAUAAUCUGCCCUUAGGUGGAGGAUACCCUCGGGAAACUGAGAAUAAUACUCCAUAGAUCUAGGAUGCUGGAAUGCACCUAGAUUGAAAGUUCCGGCGCCUAAGGAUGAGUCUGCGGACUAUCAGGUUGUAGUCAGGGUAAUGACCUGACUAGCCUACGACGGAUACGGGUUGUGAGAGCAAUAACCCGGAGACGAUAUCUGAGACACGAUAUCGGGCCCUACGGGGCGCAGCAGGCGCGAAAACUUCACACUGUGCGAAAGCACGAUGAGGGAAUCCCAAGUGCCAGCUCGCAAGAGUUGGCUGUUUCUCUGUCUAAAAAACAGAGAGAGUAAGAGCUGGGUAAGACGGGUGCCAGCCGCCGCGGUAAUACCUGCAGCUCGAGUGGUGGUCGCUAUUAUUGGGCCUAAAACGUUCGUAGCCGGUUUAGUAAAUGUCUGGGUAAAUCGUGUAGCUUAACUAUACGAAUUCCGGGUAGACUGCUAAACUUGAGACUGGGAGAGGCUAGAGGUACUCCUGGGGUAGAGGUGAAAUUCUGUAAUCCUGGGGGGACCACCAGUGGCGAAGGCGUCUAGCUAGAACAGGUCUGACGGUGAGGAACGAAGCCCUGGGGCGCAAACCGGAUUAGAUACCCGGGUAGUCCAGGGUGUAAACGCUGCUUGCUUGAUGUUAGUUGGGCUCCGAGCCCAAUUAGUGUCGGAGAGAAGUUGUUAAGCAAGCUGCCUGGGAAGUACGGUCGCAAGACUGAAACUUAAAGGAAUUGGCGGGGGAGCACAGCAACGGGUGGAGCGUGCGGUUUAAUUGGAGUCAACGCCGGA